CCUACGGGUGGCAGCAGUGAGGAAUAUUGGUCAAUGGACGCAAGUCUGAACCAGCCAAGUAGCGUGCAGGAUGACGGCCCUACGGGUUGUAAACUGCUUUUAUACGGGAAUAACGCGCCUUACGUGUAGGGCUUUGCAUGUACCGUAUGAAUAAGGACCGGCUAAUUCCGUGCCAGCAGCCGCGGUAAUACGGAAGGUCCGGGCGUUAUCCGGAUUUAUUGGGUUUAAGGGGAGCGUAGGGCGCAUGUUAAGCGUGUUGUGAAAGGUCCGGGCUCAACCCGGGCCUUGCAGCGCGAACUGGCGUGCUUGAGUGCGCGGGAGGCAGGCGGAAUUCGUGGGGUAGCGGUGAAAUGCUUAGAUAUGACGAAGAACCCCGAUUGCGAAGGCAGCUUGCUGCAGCGGAACUGACGCUGAUGCUCGAAAGCGUGGGUAUCGAACAGGAUUAGAUACCCGAGUAGUC
rnacentral:rRNA from 1 species